CUGCAUUGCGACCGUCGACUGCAUCUCAUCAGCAAACUCCACAAAGGCGAUUCCCGGUUUGGCUUCAAUCAUUCUAACUUCCUUAAAUCCUUGGUACUGGCAGAACAACAUCUGAAGCACCAUUGGAGUUGUCUCGUGAGGAAGGUUUUGGACAAAGAGAAUAUUAUUUGGCGGAGCUGGUGCCUCGGGCAUAUUGGGUUUCCAUCUCCUUGUCGUAGAAAGGAAA